rnacentral:rRNA from 1 species
AUGUCGUCAAAUACUGAAGGACCCAAGAGUCAUGCACGUAGAGACCUUUUGCUCAAGAUCCAAUCAGAUGCUCAAACUUGCUGGGAGGAGAGCAAGGUUUUUCAGGCUGAACCUGGCAAUGGACCUCCUGGCCCUGGUGAAAAAUUCUUUGGCAAUUUUCCGUACCCUUACAUGAAUGGAUUGCUACAUCUGGGUCACGCCUUCUCACUAUCCAAGCUUGAGUUCGGUGCUGCAUACCACAGACUCCGUGGCUCGAAUGUCCUUUUGCCGUUUGCUUUUCAUUGUACUGGGAUGCCCAUCAAGGCCUCAGCUGAUAAGCUUGCUAGGGAGAUUCAACAGUAUGGAAAUCCUCCAGUGUUCCCUGCAGCAGAGGAUGAUUCAAGUGCUCAAGUGGCAGAUGAUAGCCAGGCUGACCAGGCUGCUCUUGCCCCAGGGCAAUUUAAGAGUAAGAAAUCUAAGGCUGCUGCAAAGACCGGCAUGCAGAAGUUCCAGUGGGAGAUCAUGAAGGGCUUUGAACUGACAGAUGAAAAAAUCGCCAAAUUUCAGGAUCCGUCUCACUGGUUGACCCACUUCCCUCCGCUGGCAAAGGAAGAUCUUAAGGAUUUUGGCCUGGGUUGUGAUUGGAGGCGCUCAUUCAUAACCACUGAUAUGAAUCCUUUCUAUGAUGCUUUUGUUCGCUGGCAGAUGAGGAAGCUGAAGAAAAUGGGCAAAGUUGUCAAGGAUAUGAGGUACACGAUCUACUCACCACUGGAUGGCCAACCUUGUGCUGAUCAUGAUAGGGCAUCAGGUGAAGGUGUGCAGCCACAAGAAUACGUGUUGAUUAAAAUGAUGGUGAUCCCACCUUUUCCCCCCAAGUUGAAGGUCUUGGAAGGAAAGAAUGUUUAUCUGGCAGCUGCUACAUUAAGACCUGAGACAAUGUAUGGGCAAACAAACUGUUGGGUAUUGCCUGAUGGGAUUUAUGGGGCUUUUGAGAUCAAUGAAACUGAUGUCUUCAUUGUGACAGCAAGGUCAGCCCUUAAUCUUGCAUAUCAGCAUCUAUCCAGGGUCCCAGAAAAGCCCACCUGCUUAGCUGAGCUUACUGGCAAUGAUUUGAUUGGGUUGCCAUUAAAGUCUCCUCUUUCAUUCAAUGAAAUCAUAUAUGCACUUCCCAUGCUCACGAUCUUGACAGAUAAAGGUACUGGCACCGUGACUAGUGUGCCAAGUGAUUCCCCAGAUGAUUACAUGGCACUGCAAGAUUUAAUCACAAAGCCUGCUUUGAGACAGAAGUAUGGGGUCCAAGAUGAGUGGGUUCUUCCAUUUAAUAUCAUACCAAUAAUCAACAUACCUGAGUUUGGGGAUAAGUCAGCUGAGAAGGUGUGCCUUGAUCUUAAGAUUAAGAGCCAGAAUGACAAGGAGAAGCUUGCUGAAGCAAAAAGGAUGACAUACCUUAAAGGAUUUACUGAUGGAGUGAUGAUUGCAGGGGAGUUUGAUGGUAGAAAGGUUCAAGAAGCGAAGCCACUGAUAAAGAAUAAGCUUCUUGGAGAAGGCUCUGCUGUGUUGUAUAGUGAGCCUGAGAAGAAAGUCAUGUCAAGAUCCGGCGAUGAGUGUGUCGUUGCUCUUACAGAUCAGUGGUACAUAACUUACGGCGAAACUGAAUGGAAGCAGAAGGCAGUCAAAUGUUUGGAAAAUAUGAAUACAUUCUCAGCUGAAACCCGUAACGGAUUCGAACACACGUUGGGCUGGCUGAACCAGUGGGCAUGUUCUCGCUCUUUUGGCCUAGGUACUCGCAUUCCAUGGGAUGAGCAGUUCCUGGUAGAAUCUCUUUCAGAUUCAACCCUGUACAUGGCUUAUUACACCAUUGCACAUCAUUUACAAAAUGGUAACAUGUAUGGAGAAGAAAUAUCUUCUAUCAAGCCUGAAGAAUUGACAGAUGAAGUAUGGGAAUAUGUGUUCUGUGAUGGUCCAGCACCCAAUAGCAGCAUCUCUCCUGCCCUCUUGAGCAAAAUGAAGCAAGAGUUCAAGUAUUGGUACCCCUUUGAUAUUCGGGUAUCAGGGAAGGACCUUAUCCAGAACCAUCUGACAUUCAGCAUCUACAAUCAUACAGCACUUCUUCCAGAGCAUCAUUGGCCUCGUGGUUUUCGUUGCAAUGGGCAUCUUAUGCUUAACUCUGAGAAGAUGUCCAAGUCCACAGGGAACUUCCUAACUCUUAAGGAGGCUAUUCUAAGAUAUUCCUCGGAUGCCACUAGGUUUGCCCUUGCUGAUGCUGGCGAUGGUAUGGACGAUGCAAACUUUGUUACUGAAACUGCAAAUGCUGCUAUUUUGAGGCUUACAAAGGAAAUCGCAUGGAUGGAAGAAGUUAUAGCUGCUGAAUCUUCUUUGAGAGGCGGUCCUCCCUCUACUUAUGCUGACCAUGUGUUUGCUAAUGAGAUCAACAUUGCUGUAAAAGAAACUGAGAAGAGCUACAAUGCCUUCAUGUUCAGAGAUGCCCUGAAGUCUGGUUUCUAUGACCUACAACUGGCUAGAGAUGAGUACAGACUCUCUUGUGGAGCGGCGGGCAUGAACCGUGAGUUGUUGGGGCGGUUUAUGGAAAUCCAGACCAAGCUUAUCACCCCGAUCUGUCCCCACUAUGCUGAGCAUGUGUGGCAAAAGAUUCUGAAGAAGGAAGGUUUUGCAAUAAAAGCUGGCUGGCCAGUUGCAGGCACCCCGGAUCCUACUCCAUCAGCAGAAAACAAGCUCACAGUUGGUCUGAUAUAUGUCAAUGAGCACUAUGAUGGAUGGAAAGAGCAAUGUUUGAGGGUGCUUCAAUCAAAUUUUGAUAGCCAAGCACGCUCCUUUGCCCCUGACGAGGAGAUUAACGAAGCAUUGAGGAACUGCUUCAUCGACCGUGAAACAAGUUUCAAACAAGUACAGAAGCUCUGCAUGCCUUUCAUCAGGUUCAAGAAAGAUGAAGCAAGGAAUGUUGGUCCCCAGGCUCUAAAUUUGAAGCUUCCUUUUGGUGAAAUAAAUGUGCUUGAGGAGAACCUGGAGCUGAUCAGAAGGCAGUUGGGUCUUGAGCAUGUUGAGGUCCUGUCGGCAUUUGAUGGAGCUGCUCGUGCCAAAGCUGGAAAGCAUGCUUCUCUGCUGGACAAGAAUCCGCCUUCCCCUGGUGAGCCGGUUGCAAUAUUCAUGAGCAAGCAGGAGUUUGAAGCGCAGAAUUAA